rnacentral:sRNA from 1 species
GCUGUUCUAACACAUGCAAGAAGGACGAGAAAGCGGGGGCAACCCUGCAAGUACAGUGGCUUACCCGUGAGUAACACGUGAACAAUCUACCCUCGAGUGGGGAAUAACCCCGCGAAAGCGGGGCUAAUACCGCAUAACAUCCUGUUUUCGCAUGGAGACGGGAUCAAAGGCGAAAGUUGCUUGAGGAGGAGUUCGCGGCUGAUUAGCUAGUUGGUGAGGUAACGGCCCACCAAGGCAACGAUCAGUAGCCGGCCUGAGAGGGCGAACGGCCACACUGGAACUGAGACACGGUCCAGACUCCUACGGGAGGCAGCAGUGGG